rnacentral:rRNA from 1 species
ACUCCUACGGGAGGCAGCAGUGGGGAAUUUUGGACAAUGGGCGAAAGCCUGAUCCAGCAAUGCCGCGUGCAGGAUGAAGGCCCUCGGGUUGUAAACUGCUUUUGUACGGAACGAAAGCCUGGGGCUAAUAUCCCCGGGUCAUGACGGUACCGUAAGAAUAAGCACCGGCUAACUACGUGCCAGCAGCCGCGGUAAUACGUAGGGUGCAAGCGUUAAUCGGAAUUACUGGGCGUAAAGCGUGCGCAGGCGGUUUUGUAAGACAGUGGUGAAAUCCCCGGGCUCAACCUGGGAACUGCCAUUGUGACUGCAAGGCUAGAGUGCGGCAGAGGGGGAUGGAAUUCCGCGUGUAGCAGUGAAAUGCGUAGAUAUGCGGAGGAACACCGAUGGCGAAGGCAAUCCCCUGGGCCUGCACUGACGCUCAUGCACGAAAGCGUGGGAGCAAACAGGAUUAGAUACCCCUGGUAGCGACUGA